UACGUAGGGGGCAAGCGUUAUCCGGAUUUACUGGGUGUAAAGGGAGCGCAGACGGAUGAGCAAGUCAGAUGUGAAAGCUCGGGGCUCAACCCCGGAACUGCAUUUGAAACUGCCCGUCUCGAGUGCCGGAGAGGUAAGCGGAAUUCCUAGUGUAGCGGUGAAAUGCGUAGAUAUUAGGAAGAACACCAGUGGCGAAGGCGGCUUACUGGACGGUAACUGACGUUGAGGCUCGAAAGCGUGGGGAG
rnacentral:rRNA from 1 species